rnacentral:tRNA from 2 species
AGGGGUAUAGCUCAGUUGGUAGAGCAGCGGUCUCCAAAACCGCAGGUCGCGGGUUCGAAUCCUGCUGCCCCUG